CCCGCCCUCCCCGCGGGAGGAAGUCCUUGCAAAUCCAUGCGCUCCGCGGAUGGAUUAGCCGGGUCUGGAAACAUGGCCUCCUCAGAGCAGGCCGAGCAACCUGGGCAGACUGGGUCUUCUCCUGGAACUGAGAAUGGGGUGUCCCGUGACGCACUGAUUGCAACGGCAGUGAAGUUUCUACAGAACUCCCGGGUCCGCCAAAGCCCCCUUGCAACCAGACGAGCAUUUCUCAAGAAAAAA